AGCAAAAAAUAAAAUGAAGAAGAAACUGUAAGUAUUUAUCUGGUAAGGAAAAAAUGCAAAUACUAUGAUGAUGGGAUUAGUAUGGCUAGAUGUGGAUAGUUUAUAGUAUCAUGCUCUGUGCAAGUUGAAGGGGAUUUUGAGGCAAUGAGAAGAUACUAGCAGGUUUUUAUUUGUGAUAAUGGAUCUAAUAAGUAAAAAACCAAACAAAAAAACCCCCAAAAAACCAAACAUACAUGGCAGAGUUUCUCUGAUAUUAACAAUACUGUGCUUUCUUACAGCUAGAGAUUGUCCUGCACUUUUGGUUACAGUGAUCAUAUCAUCUGGAGAAAACAAACUAUGUACACGUUUGUGCACAAGUUUUACAACACCAUUUACAACUGAUGUGACUAAUAUUGCUAAAACAGUAUUUAUGGGACUCUUAUGCUGUGCUAGGGAAAGAGGCUGUUAUAAAGGUGUUCAGGACCUCUGAUGGAGUAGUUUUCAACAACAACAUUCUUUCAAAGUAUUGCCAAUUCACAGGACAUAGGGCAAGUACUUCACAUUGUUCUUGCUUCUUGCAGACAGUUUUCCUGCCCGUGUCUGCAAAGUAAUGUCAGUCAUCCCAGUGAGUACAGGAAAAAGCAGAAAGGUAGUAGUAAUGAAUAUAGUAGUACCAAAGACAGGAAAAGGAUAGGAAACUGAAUCUGUUAAGAAAAGCUAAUACUUUUUGAUGUUUCAAACCACAUUCAGUGGUUUAGCUUCUCAAUACAUGAUCUGUCCCUUGUUUUCUCAUAUUGGCAGGUUUCUAAUGUGUCCCUUAUCAUAUUUUAUGAGUACUAGAACAAAACUUCUAAUGAGUGAGGAAGUGUAGUAGACAGCAAGUCUAAUCUGAGGUAUGAUGAUAAUUCUCAGAGAAGUAGCAAAACAAAUUCUAAUACUAACUUCAGGAGCACCUUUGCUUUGUUUUGGUUCUAAACAGGAGAUACCUGGAAAUACGGUCAAGGUCAGAUUUAAGAUGACCAAGAAGACAUUAGAAGGUGGUGUGUUCUCCAUCUGUGCAUCCAGGAAAGAAUUUUAGGAAGUUAGUUUUUUUAGACGUGUUAAUGACAUGUAUUAUAGAAUUUGUAAAACCAUGAAAUAGGCAUCAAACUUGCAUCCAAAUUUGAUGCUAACUGUUGCACAAAAAAUAUAACCUGUAGUAUCUCCAUCUCAAAAAAUAUCCAAAAUGAACAUGAAAGAUCCUACAUAUAUCCUGUCAGACAACUCACACAGUAUAUGUAAUUCCAUAAUCACAUUUUUUCAUUUAAUGAAUGAAUCAACUGGGUAAAGAGUUCCCAUAUUGGUUUCAGUACAAGAAAUGGCUAAAAAAUACUGCAGCGUGUGGCAGGAAGAAAUAUGACCUUUAUGGGAGUAGUUUUUGGGCUCUUCCAUAAGUGAAGGCUAGGUUAAGAGCAGAGGUUAGAAUCAUACUAACUGUGAGAAGUACCCUCAGGUUUAAGCAAUGUAUGAAUGCAGUACAUUUCUAUGACCUACCUGUGUCGCAACUACCAGUUGAUCUAAAUUUGUAGAAACACUUCUAUCUUAAAACCACAAUGAAUGUGUCCUGGAAAGGCAUCUUUUCUCUUUUGGUACUUGGAAGGUACUUAACCAUGAUUAAGAGCAGUUUCUUAGGUAAUGAUCCAGACAUUACAGAAACCACAGUGUAGUUUAAAGCAUAGAACAUCCUAGUCACUCCUUCCACGAGGGAGCAGACUGGUAAGAGAGAGCAGGACAGACAUCUGUAGCAACAUUGUUUGGUGUGACCUCCUCUUGGUUAAAGGACAGUCACAUAGUCAGGCAUGCUGCAUAGUCAGCAGCGGGGAACACCACCACUUUCAUUUCAAGUGCUCUCUUGUAAAUAACAGGAGACUUGUAGGUGUCAAAAAUCCAUCAUUCUCUUUUUCAACCACAGAAAUCUUACACAAGAUGAAAUCAGGAAGUCUAGAGGCAAUAAAGCUAAGUAGGGAAAAUGUUGAGCAAUACCUUUUGACAUCACUGUCGCUAGACAGACUAUGUGACUGCCUUCGUCUAAGUAUGUAAACUUUACUAAGCUGUGGUGUGUUGCCAAGGUUAAGGUUAGUCAUGCUGGAACCCCAGCAAAAGGGCUCUAGAAGGAGGUCCACCUCUGUGACGUUUGAUAUCCAAAAGAACUGAAAAGGCAGUUUCUCUAGACAGGGAUGUCCAUGUCAGCAGGCUUGUCAUCAAGCUGAGUGGCUCUGGAAGCUGCCUUUCUCAGAAGAACCACAGCCUAGGUGGAGUAGGAGAACCCUGGUGAGCAGCACACACGCUGUAGCCUUAAUUCCGUCAAGGGAUGGCUGGCAGAAGAGGGCCUAAAAACUCUGCCAGGAGUAAGAGGAUAUGGGGAAAAAGCGGUUUAGGGUGGUAGUUGCCAAAGUUUCUGACUGAUGGAUGCUUGUUAGCCUCAUUCUCUGUUACCACCACUGGGCUGUUUCGUCAAACCUUUAAAAGAGACACUGUUACAAACAGUGUUUUCAUAGACUUUUGCAGGCCAGCCUUAGAGCAUUUACCCUGGCCUGGUGCGCCAUACGUUGGGAGUGCCUUCUUAAGGGGAAUUCUAGUCUCCUUAUUGUAAUAAAGUUCUCAAUUCAUUUCAGAAGACUGAAACUCUUUUGGGGAUUCUGCACUAUUGUCAUUUGACAUGGUGGCUGUCGGGGAUUGCGGAUGGUUUAGAGGCUUAUGGGGAGUAUUGGCCUAUCACAGAUUCCCUGGAAGCUGCUGUGUGCCAUGGGGGGCCUUGGAGUCUAUUCUGUCUUGCAGAAGGAGCAUGCUCUGCCACCCCCAAGGAACAAUAACGUUCAGACAAAGAACAUUUUUUCCAGAUCUCUUUUGCAAACAUGGAGCUGAGUGUAGAACCCUUUCUAAGCCGAGAGGUAGCUGAAGAAUUUUGUGCAUCUGCUUUACCGUGAAGCCAGGAUGAAUAUUGGGCAGAAGCUUCUUUGGAGGGUGAUGUUUUGUGACUAAGUGCAGGUGGUUCUUGUUACUCGAAAACCAGAAAAAGAGCUUCUGAAACCUAGACAGAAGGUUUUCCAUCCUUGUUAUUAAAAGCAGCCCCACUGAAUUAUAGGCUAAAAGCUGAAACACCUAGAAAAGCAGAAUGGAGUGGUCUGAAGGCAUAGGAGGAUGCCUGAUUCCUGAGUAAAUAAGCCGUAAAAUGUGACAGUGGACUCUGGUGGCUUUGGGAAGGGGAGGAGGAAGAUAGGAGCUGGUUCACAGAGAGAAGUAGAAGAAGAAAAGGGAGGACAGACUUCAUAUUUUCAGCUGCAGGGAAUCAGUUAUUGGGUUUAUCUGCCCAUCAAAAUUAUGCCAUGUCUUUAUACCAUUUAAAAUAAUUUUUCCAAUUAAAAUUGAAGGUUUUCUUACUAA